CAAUAGCGUAUAUUAAAGUUGUUGCAGUUAAAAAGCUCGUAGUUGGAUUUCUGGAUGGAGCGACCGGUCGGGCAUUAAUUUGUCUGCACUGGAGUCGGUUCCGUCCAUCCUCUUGGAAAGUGCGUCGGGCAUUGAGUUGUUUGGCGUAUGAUCCAAGUCGUUUACUGUGAAAAAAUUAGAGUGUUUAAAGCAGGCCUUCGCCUUGAAUACAUUAGCAUGGAAUAAUAAGAUAGGACUUUGGUCUAUUUUGUUGGUUUGCAGACCGAAGUAAUGAUUAAUAGGGAUAGUUGGGGGUAUUUAUAUUCCGAUGUCAGAGGUGAAAUUCUUAGAUUUUCGGAAGAUAAACUUAUGCGAAAGCAUUUACCAAGGAUGUUUUCAUUAA
rnacentral:rRNA from 1 species